GCCUGACUCCCUGUCUCCUGCUGUGGAAUGGUGUGGAAUUCCAAUCCUGUUAGAACUGGUGGAAAGCAGGGCUUGGGAAUCACACACCCAAGCUUCACCCUUCCUCACUGCAGGGGUGUGGAAGGAAGUUCAGAUGGAGGAGCCCAGGGAUCUCACCAAGAUGCCACAGGAUUUCCAGCAAUUUUUCUUCUCUCUGUGUGUUGAACAUCCCUCAGUGUCAGAGAGUUCUUCCUUAUGUCUUACCAGACUCUCUCUUGCUGCCGGACCAGCCCAGAUGCUCCUCCUAGUGGCCAAUCUCCAGAGGUGAGUGUCCAGGUAUGUGGAGCCUGGGAGUAGGCCAGUGACCCCUCCUCCCCUGACGUUCAGAGGGUCUGGAUGGCAAAGGAGAACCUGGAGGGCCCUCUCUGUGUUUGGUGAAUAAACACAAGAGUCAAGUUUCUGGCCUGUCACUCUCCAGCCUUUCAUGGCAGGAGAGACCAGGUAGGCCGGAGGGAGUUCCCACUGGCUGUGCAUGAGAAGAGGCCGGAGCCUCAGGGGCUGAGGCCCAGCCAGGCAAGGCGCAAUCUGGAUGUCCAGUCACAUCAGCAUUUGCAGCAUGGGACUUCACACCUUUGAAAGGCUCUGGAGUGGCCCGCAGGAAAAUAAACGGUCCUUCCAACCACAGCGAAUGGACCAUCCUCAGGGGCUACUCGUCAUGCCAUGAAACCCUGUAAAAGGACCCAGUGUUUCCUUUUCCACUCCCUGAAAGGAGCCUCGAAGGACUGCCAGGAUUGGACAAGAGGGCUGGGGUCCCGCCUGCUCCCGGGGACAGCCACCGGCUCUGAGCCCUGGUUUACACAUCUGGUGACAGGAAGAAAAGGACCUGCGUGGGGGGCAAGUUGUGUGUCUGACGUGGAAUGAGCCGUGUGCCUGUAGAAGGCAGCGUGUGGGAGGGACGGUCACUGUCCUCCUCCUUUUCUGUCACCUAGAACAAGUUGAGUGCCUUCAGGAGCCAUGGUGCUCUCUGUCAAGAGGGGUGAGCGCCCACAUGUGUGAGGAUGAAGGGAGACAAAGGGCCUGGCCUGGGGUCGGGUGCUCAAAAGGUUCUCCUUUGGUCACCCUCUUGGUUCUUCCUCACGGGGCCCAGGCACUUGGUCUUACAAAUGCAAACAGUGGUGGGCUCUUGACCCACUGGGUUAAGAAUGCUGUGAGGACCAACCCCUGCCAGCAGCACUCGAUGACCUUGCUACACCACAGAAUCACAGGAGAGGCUAGACUCCAGGUACUUGGGAAGCAAGUGGGAAGAAUGCAGGGAUUAGAGAGUCCUGGGAUUAUUAUAAAUCUUGUCUCAUUGAAUGACAGUUCAAGCAGGAAAGUUGGAAGCCUUGAGGAGAAAGAGGCACUAGUGGUCCCUGUUGUCUGUGGGUUUCCUGAAGGAGCUGUCUGUCCAAAGCCAGGGAGCUCAGUUUCCACCCAGGUCUAGUAAGCUGCAAAUGCAACACACCCAGCCAGUGGAGAGAUGGCCCCAGAGGGUCCAUGUUCUCCUGCCUGGGCUUUUCAGAGCUGGGAAAGACAAGCCAAACUAGGAUCAAGGGGGCUGUGCAUGGAAGAGCAGAUCCUUUCCUGAACAUGUGGCAGUGGCAACUGAGCUGUCUCCAGAGGCCAUGAUGUCCCUGUGACAGGAGGUAUCCAGUAGAGGCUGAGGACCUGUGACAGAUACUGAUGAGGCAGGGCACUGGAUGGGAAGGGAAAUAUCUGAGAGAUAGACUUUGGAGUCCGGCACCCUGGGGGCUCCAGUGCUGGCUUUAUAAUCCACACUUGAGUGACCCUGGAUUAGUCUCCUAACCUUUGUAAAGUCCCACUUUCCUCAUGGAUAUAGUUGGUAAUCUCCACUUCAAAGACUUGUUUUGGGGAUUAAAUGAAAGAAUGCUUGUAAAGCAUUUAGUUCAGGGUUAGAAAGUUGAAGGAAGAUCCCCCGGUCAUGGCUGAGGUUCUAAGAUCUGGCAGGUUUCAUUUUAUAGGGGGUUAAGAUCCAUAACUUUGAGGAUUCUGAAAUUACAGAAGACAGACAUUAAUUUAAUACUUAUCCUAUACAGGAUACUUUCUAGGGGCUUGAUAAAAGUUAACUCACUUAAUCUUCACAACAACCCUGUGAGAUAGCUUACUACUGUUACCCCCAAUUUAUAGAUGAACAAACCGAGGCAGGAAGUUAAAUAACUUGCCCACAGUCUCACAGCCAAGGAAAUGGUAGAGCUGAGGCUAGACUCUGGUCCAAUGUCUUAUGCACAUAAGAUUCUAAGACCCCAGAUUUCAAAACCACUCCGUGUUCCUAACAUUUCAGAGAGUUGGAGACUGAGGGGCUUUUAUUAUUAAUAACAAACAUUCAGGAUGAGAUUGUUCUAGAACAGGGGUCAGCAAACUUUUUCUCUAAAGAGCCAGGUGGUAAAUAUUUCAGGCUUUAUGGGCUGCAGGUCUCCCUUCAUUGUUGGGGCUGAUAACUAAACAAGUGAGCAUGACUGCUUCCAAUAAAACUUUAUUUACAAAAGUGGGUGGCAGGUGCAUUUGGCCCUUGAGCUGUAGUAUGCUGAGCUCUAUUCUCCAGGCUCCUCGGACAUCUUCUACUCUGCUGAGCACCUCAGUGGGGGCUCCUUCAGGGUUGAGCCCCAUAGGAGCUCAGAUCGGCCUCCCCUUGUCCCCAGCUUCCAUUUGGAGAUGCAGAGAGGCCUGCUUUGGCCAGGGCGGCUCCUCGGGGUGUGGGGGCUUCUGAGUGUGGCUGUCCCUUUCUGUCCUAGAGAGGCUGUUGAAAAGGCUCCUCUCUCCAGCAGUGCGGCCUCAUUACUCUGGGCUGGAAAACAAUGUUAAUUUUCCCCCAAGCGGGAAGCAGCUGCACUUGUGAGCCAGGGCUCAUUUUGCUGCAUGAAUAUUUAUGGCCUGUCCCCUAAUUAAACCCAGGGGAAAAAAAAAAAAAAAACUCUAUCCUGCUAACAGGGUCCACGGAAGACUGGGAGGCCAUGUCAGGAACCAGCCUCUUGUGCCUGUGAAGUAGAUUGGCAAUGAAACAUUUGUUUCCAGAGCCACUUGGUCAGGGCCAGUGUCCAGAGGAGUGGCAGGGUGGGCAUUUCCCAACAGGUCAAGCACCCUUGGUGUGGUCACGUGCAGGUGCAAGGGGCUGCCUGGGCCACCUUGCCGAGCAGUGGCGGGUGGCUAUUGUUCCAGAACUGCAUGGGGUGACUCAGGGUAACUGCAGGCCAUAGCCCUGGCAAGAUUGUUUUUCUUUUAGUCAGGUGACUCAGGUAUUUCCCGAUUGUGCCUCAACGGUCACUCUAGUGGCAACAGCCCAGAGAGAGAGGGCCUCAGUGUGGAAACCAGGAGAGCUGGAUUUGACACUGAUUCUGUAGGACCUGGGCUCUCCCAGCCUCGGUCCCCAAACCCCCCUCCUCCUAUGUCGUGAAACUGAGUUUGGAAAUCUCAGGACCAACACCCUAGAGAAGUUGUUGCUGAGAAUUAUAUGAAGAUGAUAGAAAUACAGGUUUAGGGGAAUGGACUCUGGGAUUUCUUUACCUCCAGACCCUUCUCUUAAAUCCCCAGAGCCAAGAAAAGUUGACUCUGCCCAGCCCAAGUAACCUUGAGGGUUUCCGGAAACCAUAAAUCUUGGCUUUUCUUUGAGGGGUCCUAUCUUCAGAGAACAGCUUGGGCCCUCAUAUCCUCUUCCCUAGAGCCAAUAAACCAAGCAAACACCAUAAAGCUCCUCACCCGUCUGAGCUUUCCUGAUGGUCAGAGUCAGCUGGGUCCAGAUUCAAGGAUAUAAGAGCCUGACCAUAAAGUUAAAUAUGGCUCCUCCCCUUUCCUUUCCAGAACAGAAAAAAGAAUGGAACUUACUUUGAUUUCUCUCUGUUGCAAUGCUUUUUAAUGAUUUUCCUCUUUGGUUUCUUCACAGCACGUGGGAGACCCCAGCUUGUGUCCCCUGCCUUCUUCCGCCAGCUGCGAUGACCUGGGUGAGGAGGAUGCUUUCCCAAGGUGGGUCCGGGGGUGCAAUCAUUUCAGGGCCUUGGCAAACUGUAAAUUCAAAACUUGUAAAUUCAAAAGUCAACAAGAUGUGGAAGUGGAGGGGACCCUCAGGCAGAAGGGGAGGAGGUGGGGACGUGAGAGUGGGCCUGGCCUGGGAAGUGGGUCAAGGGUGGCUUCGGAGCCCUUUGCCUCCCCUGACAGGGCCUGCCCCACCCCCCUGGAGCCCUGGGACUUCCUGUUCUCUCUCUACCUUCACAUCCUGAGCUCAGAUCUGAUUCCAGCAACAGACUGGACUCCAGAAGGGACCUUAAAAGUCCUCUCUCUCACACUUUCACCACAGAUGGGGAGGCUGCAAAAAUGGGGAGAGCGGAAAUAACACUGGGCUGCAGUCAGGAGACCUCAACCCUGGUUCUAGCCUUGGUUGGGUCCAGACCCUGGUCAUACACAAAAGCCCUGAGCCUAGCUUCAGACUGUAGCCUUCAUUACAGUAGCCUUUCUAAUCCCAGGUCAGUGUCGAGGUAGCCAUAAUAUCACAGCUUCCAAUGGCCCAUCUUACUACAAAACCACUCACUGCUGUUGGCAUCCAGGACACCAUUUUUACUGAUAAAGGAUGCUGUGCCCUUACCAGUUUGGAAGUUUGACAUAAUGGCCCAUCAGAACACUUUAGCAAAGAUGUGACUGUCAGAAAAAUCACUUUACCUCUCUGGAUUCAAGUUUUCUUAUCUGCAAAGUGGGGGUUGUCAUCCACCCUGCCCCCAGCCUAAUCCCUUGGCUUCUUGAGGGCCAAUUGAGAUUAUGAAGAUGCUUUGCUAGCUAGAUGUGCUUUAGUAUAGAUGAAUGAGUGUUGAAGUUGUACCUAUUGUUUAUGUUGUUAUUUGCUAGCCAAAUUUGCUUCUGGCUAACCAGAAAGAUCUGGUGUCCUCUGGCAACUUAGGACCUUAGAGCAAAUUUUAUAGGUUAAAAAUGGACAAGAGGAGGCCCAAGAGCUUGGCCAGGGUCCCCAGACCCCAUAAGACUUGGGGAGCUGCUGGGUUAGAUAACGGAGACCUCAUUAGCCUUAUAUAGGUCUGAGUCUAUUGGCCAGACUGUGGCGCUGGCAGUUAACCAGCUCCAGUGUGUCACAGGUGAGUCCAGGCAGACACUUGAAUGCCCAGGCUUGGGCUCUGAUCAUUGUGGUCCCACAGAAAUUCCCAGACUCUGCUUGAGAGGAGCAAAGAGGCUCAGGUGGGUGCCUACAUACCAAGGCCCCUACCUCUAAACUAGCUUCCUUUCAAUUUCCACCAGCUCCUGCGUUUUGGGGAGGAAAAUUCAGUCCAUAUACUUUUGUUUUAUUUGCAUGAAAACUGUCACAAAACCUUGUCAGAGACAUUUGUGUUGUAGAACCCUACAGGGUCUCUUUAUCACUUUUUGAAGAUCUUUUCCUUCUCCCAGGGUAAACAGGAAUUCAUACUGUGCCAGGUCUGCACCGCCAGCCUCCUGGCAAUUGGAAAUGAGAAGUCCCUCAGUUUCCCUUGGAGCAAUGCUUGGCCAUUGCUUCCCUUUUUGAUUUGCCGCAAGCCCUCCUGGUAGCAUCCCCCUGCCCAACCCCACCACUGGGCAGGGAAUUAGUCUGUCCGGCUAUGAAGUAAUGUUUGUGGACACCUCUGUUUAUGCCAUUCUGCUACCUGACUGAAUUUCUUCCUCACCAUUCCUGAAAUCUUCCUUGUUCUUUGAGGCCCAGUUGCAACUCAACACAACCUUCUCCUGAUCAUUCCAGGUGAAGUGAUUGACAGCUCAGGAUUCAGUACUGUGUGACAUCAGUGAAGGUUUACUACAGAAUGAAUGAAUGAAUGGAGCUGGGCACAGUGGGGCACACCUGUAAUCCCAACUACUCAGGAGGCUGAGGCAGGAAAGUUCGAGGCCAAUCUGGGCAACUUAGUGAGACACUGCCUUGAAGUAAAAAAAUAAAAAAUAAAAAGAGCUGGGAAUAUAGGUCAGUGGUAGAGCACCCCUGGAUUCUAUUCCCCAGUAGUAGGGGGGGGAGAUAAAAGGAUGGGUAAAAUAUGAUGGAUGAUAGGUUGGCACAAGUUACCCUACACAUCCCUUUUUUCCUAGAAUGUGUCAGGUGGGGUUUUAGCAUAUGCAGAAGUUUGAUGAAUGCCUGAAGAAUGGCUGUAGGAAUCCAUUUAUACAGCAGGGUCUAUGGGGCAGGCACAGUGCAGAGGCUGACGUGGCAGCUGAGAAUCACACUGCUUCCUGCCCUGCUGCCCUCACCGUUCAGCUGAGUAAGGUUUACACAGAGAACCACAUUACCCAUUUGGUGACUUUUUGGGAUAAAUGUCACGGGGAGGGAAUAUGAAUAAGUCAGUAAGUGAAUGAGGAAUUGCGAAGAAGGGGAAUGAGCAAACAGAGUGAGGGAGAAAAGGCAUAUGUGAAUAAGUGGAUAGUGGGGAAGAUAAAGGAGGGGAUGGAUGAGGGUCAUUAUGAAGGGAAAAAAUCCAUGCCACGGGAUGUAGUGUUUGUGGACACAAGGACUAGAGGCCAACGUUGGCCGAAGUCAGCCCCUCUUGGGAGAGAGGUGGGCAGGCUGGGCAGGGGGAGGCUCCCAGGGCACAUGCGGGGCUCUCUGCAUCCUCAGGUAGGCACCUCUGCCACUGCCUUAGCAUCUCUGGGCCAGAAAGAGUGGCCAUUUGGAAUGAAGAAUUGAAUGCACAGAUUCCUGGGCCUCUGGGGGCUGAAUUUUGCUCCUUGCUGGGGAGGAACUGCAAGGUUUCACCACCCUAUCCAGCAGCAAGGGACCCUCUAUAUUAAGCCAGUAGUCUUGGGAAGGGGAAGCGCACCACCACCAGUGACCUGACCUUAAGGGGCUCUAAGAGGACUCUGCUGGAACUAACCACGCCCUUUGUGGACCAGCCCUCUGCCUCUGAGCUCCUUUUCUGAUCGCCUCCCCUGCAGCUUCCUCCCUCCCCUGGCACAUGCCAGGCCUGCUCCUGUCUUAGAGCCUUUGUGCUCCUGAUUCUCAUUCUGGGAUCUCUCCCCAGACCCUAGGGCUUACCUCACUUCCUUCGGUUUUUUUCCCAAACGUUACCCUAUGAAUGCAGGGCCUUCUGGGGCCACUAUACAUUUAUUUGGUCGUAUAUCCCUUCCUUAUUUAAACCUUUCUUUGGCUUUGAAUUGUUUACAGAGCAUUUAUCCUUAUUUAAGGUACUGUGCAGUUUUCUUAUUUGGUUUACUGUUUCUCCUAUGAGGAUGCCCACCCAGGAGGACUGGGAUUUGUGCUGCUUUGUUCACUAUUGUGUUCCAGCUGCCAUACAGUAGGUGCCACUAAAUAUGUAUUAAGUGAGCAAAUGAAGCAAAGACUCCAACUCAGCCUCUCCUCCCCACACACAAGCUACCGUUACCAUCUAUUCUUGCCUGGAUGCUGGAAAAGUCUUCCCCUAAACUCAGCUCCACCCUGACCCAGCCUCCUCCCAGACCCUAAUUUAUUCCCUUAUUCUCAGCCUCCUAUCUUAACCUCCAGCUUCCUCCCGGACCCUCAGCCUUCACCCUCACCUCUAGCUUCCUCCCAGGCCCUCAGCCUCCUCCCUGACCCAGGCAGUGAAUGGGGCCUUCACAUAGCCUUUUCUGGACUUGGGAGUCAAGAAGAGAAGUCAUGGUACUUUGGAAAACACAUGUUCUUUUAAGGAAGAAUUUUUUGUUUUCAUUUCAAACAGCCCUGGCUGGUGACGAGUGGUGAGGAGAGGUGCCCUGUUUUCCAUCCUGACACCUAUUUCCAGGUGGGGGCAGGGAGGCCUCCAAACCUGAAAUGUUAUUUCAAACCCUUUCCGGGCCUUGCGACUCCAUUUCCAGCCCACAUGCCUCAAAGCAAAGCACCAUUUCCCAUUACGUCGUCGUCGUGUUGCCCUUUCUGGUCUGAGCACCUUUCAAAGGGGGAAGACCUGGGCUGCUUCAACACUCCCUCCUGCCCCCGUAAAUAAAGUCUCGGAGCUUAAAUAAACAGCCUUGCUUGGGUACCGAUGGUCACACUCCUGAUAGGCCAGCUCGUCAAGGGCAGCAAACUCAGGCGGUUCCUCCCUGCCCUCCAGAGAGAGAUGAAACUGGUGUUGGGCAAACACUCUGGGCCUGCUUUCUGCCAUCUGAGGCACAUUCCAAAAGGAGCAGGCCAGGCGAGGCCUUGUCAUCUGCCAGGGUGCAGACGGAGAUGGAUGACGCCCUCCCUGCCAGAGAAGGCCACAUUUGAGACACUCCCAGAUAGCCAGCUGCCACUUUAUUAACAGCAAAGAUCCCCAUCUGAAUCAGGCUGGGAAAGAAAAUAUUUAUCCUUGCUUGUCAGAGGACCUUCAUUUUUCUUCAGAGGGAACCAGCUUUGGUGCAAGUCCAGGGCUCAGGGAGUGUGGCAAGUCUGUGGGGCCACUCCAGGCCUUGCAGCAGCCCCAGGGUUGAUGCCCCUUGAAUGUCCUCAGGGCAACUCUGGAUGGGAACAGGGGUGGUGGCUUCAGGAGAGCUGUGCAUGGGGAGUGCAGGGGAGUCAGGAUACCAGAAACCAGAACAUGCCCUGGCACCUAUUAGACAGUAAAUGACGGAUCUACAUGUAGGAGUGGGGCUGCCCUCAGAGUCAGGUGGACAGAAAGCGUGGGUUAGUUAGAGAAGCAACUUUGUGCUGAGUUAGAAGAAAAUAACUUUGCACUGUCAGAAAUGUCAACAUUGGAGCUGAGUCUGUCAUCUUAACUAGGCAUAUGUUAAAAACAGUUUAUAUCAUUACUUUUAGGGUGGUUAUUAUUUUGAUCAAAACUCGAAAGUCAAUUCUUUAGCAGUUUCAGGGGUGCCUGUGAAUCUGCAUCUUGAGAGACAGCUGUAUCCAAUGACACUGAGUUAUAAGGUGUGAGGCUGAACAAGCCAAGUGAGCCCAGGGAAGGGAGGGUUUGUCCUCAGAGGGGCAGGAUUGUUCUCCUUGGACCCCAGUAAGAUUUCCACCCCCAACUCCAAAUGAAGAUUGCCUGUCAUCCAGUGGUGGUGCACAUCCGAGUCAGAAGGCCUGGGUUCAAAUCUCGAUUUAGCACAGUUGCUUAGCAGUGGUGGGACCUAGUCAAGUUUUAGUCUCUCCUACCUUGAGACGGAGCUGCUAAAUGUCUCCCUCUUGGGGCUGCCUGGAGGAAAGUGAAGUAAGUCUGUGAAACCUGCAGCUCAGUGAGAGCUGGGGAAGUGGCAAUAAAGGAGGAGUCUCAGGCCUGGGGUUGCAGCCUCUCUCUAGGAGCGCCUUGGUCCUUUUUAUUUAUAUGUAAAUGAACAGGUACAAAGGCGCGUUAGUAUGAUUGCUAGUUCAUAUCUGAUAGUGGACCCAGGCUGCUAUAACAAAAAUACUAAGGACACAGGUGGCUUGAAUAAAUAGCCAUUUAUUUCUUGCUGCUCUGGAGACUGGGAUGUCCAAGGUUGGGUGCCUGGUGAGGGCCCUCCUCCUGGCUUUCUGGCUCUCUCUGCACAUGGCGGAGGGCCUGAACUCUGGUCUCUUAUAUAAACUCCUCUUCUUAUAUGAACACUAAUCCCAUCAUCAGGGACCCACCUUCAAGAAUCUGUCUAAACCUAAUCACUUUCCAAAGGCCUUCCCUACAAAUAGCAUCACCUUGGGCAUGGGACUUCGACAUAAAUUUUAGGGGAACACAUUUGGUCCCUAACAACAUAUGGGUGUGAGAUCUGUAUCGUUCAUACCUGCAACUGCUUUUGAAUCUGUGUGCUGAGUAGGCAUUUAUGUCUAGUUACAUAUUUUACAAGUUAAAAAAUAAAGAACAGUGAGGGCCUGGGGCUUAUAGCCAUGUGUGUAACCUAUGUUCAGGCCGCUGCAUCCAUGAGAGUGUAGCAAAGGUUAAGUCACAGGCUCAGACUACAGGCGUGAGUCAGUGUGUCACCUGUGUACCUGUGUGUAUUUAUAAGCCCCAUAUGGCAAGUCUCCUGCUCCCACCAGUCUAGGGCAGUUACUGAGGGGACCCAGAAGAGGGACUCAGAGGGACUGGGGACCUGUUGAGUCUGAAAUUUGGCUGCAGAUGCCCAAUGAUUUGUUUUAUGCUGUGUAAGAACCCUUGGCCCUGAGAGCACAGUUUUCCUGGAGGAAGGACAUGGAGUCUGUCCUUGAUGUUGUGGGGACUUUAUUAGCUCAUCUCCAUCCAGCGUGGGACCCAUUUUCAUCUAUUCAGAUGGAUCAUUUGUCUCACAGAUCGCCUUCAGAGCUGCAGCUCAAGUGACAUUUGCUUAGCAAUUGGCCUGUUUGAAAAGCGGAUGUGCUAGAGCCCAGGCAUGCAAACGCCUCACUGUCCUUCUGAGCUGGGGUGCUGGGGGGGCCAGGCCCAUGGGAGAAGGUCUGAGGGAGGGGGUGGGCAUUUGGUUGGGUCAAGGAUCCCACAGAAAUAGGCAAACACAUUAUCCACUCCAGCACCGGCAAUUUUUUCCCCCAGGGUAGCUAAUUAGCAGGCAGCUGCCUGGGCUCUCUACUUGACUUGCAGAAUUAGAAUGCUCCGCACAGAGAUCUGUGUUGAUGCUCAAAAUCCAGAGUCUUCUCCAGCAGGAGAGGAGCUCUGUGAGCUGAAGCUGACACUGUUAGAUUGCCCUUCCAGGCCUGGACCAGCUCCUCUGCACAGAACCCCUUCCCUGUUGGAGGCUUUGGAAAGUGGGAAGUCGGUCAGUGCAGGCACAGAUGUCACCUCACUUCCAUAAACACGACAAAGGCACAGACACACAAAUUCACCCAGGCUUAGGUUCAAAUCUCGGUUUAGCACAGUUUAGCACCCACCCACAGAGCACACCGACUGCACACAAACAUUCAGACAUACCUGAGAUCUGCACUGAGGUUCCCUGCUGGGUGUAGUGGCACAUGCCUGUAAUCCCAGCAACUUGGGAGGCUGAGACAGGAAGAUCACAAACUCGAAGCCAGCCUCAGCAAUUUAAGGAGGCCUAAGAAACUUAGUGAGGCCUUAUCUCAAAAUAGAAAAUAAAAAGGGCUGGGAAUGUGGCCCAGUGGUUAAGCACCCCUAGGUUCAAUCCCUGGUACCAAAACAACAACAAAAAACACACCCACACACAUGCAUGUAUACAUAUACUCCUAUGUGUGUAUGGCAGAUGCACCCUUUCAGGUGCCUAGAAACACACAUGUAAUGCCACACAACUGGGCACAGAGAAGCUUCUUAAAUGAAUUUAUAAAAACAAAAAUUCUCAGAAACCUGCAUUAGGAUUCUCAAUCAAAUCUCAUGUCAGCAUCAGAGAUGAGGUUAUAUAAGAAUGACACAUCAGAUGAGCUACCAGAUAUCUGAUGCCAGAUUCAGAAAUUAUAUGAGAAUUAGAAUUCUUGUAGCAGAAUUAGUGGGGAGUUUUGUAUAAAAUCCUGUGACCCUCCAGAAUCUGACAAGUCAUUGAGUAAGAUAUAGAGAAUUUUGAAAGGCUCCCCCAUAUAAUGAACACAGAACAUUUUUAUCAUUAGAAAUAAAAUUAAAUGACCAUCUCUGAUUAAGAGGAAGAACAUUUGAGUUGGUAAGUACUGUCAGGAAUUUUAAUUUAAGAGAUGUUUAAAAAUGAUAUUUUAUUGUUUCAGGAACAGAAUAACUUGGAACCAAAAUUUUCCUGAUUGAUUUUUUUUUUUUUAACAGAUUGGAAUGGUGACAAUGGAUACAACUUGCCCAGGAGAUUUUGAUGCAACUACAUAUGUUUCUAGUCCCUUAUCUUCUUGCUAUAGACCUGGAAACCGAGGUCCAAGUUGGAUAAGCUCCCGAUUUAAGUCAUAUAACUAUUUACCACUUCUGUGAGUUAAUGUAUGUAGAGCACACAGUAAGUGCUCAAUAAGUGUUAGCAGCUAUAUAAUUUCCAUGGUCAUUACAAUCGAAAGUCAUUAUCAUUAGUCAGGCAAGGCUAAGAAUGCAGAAAUCCUUCCUCCUCACCUGAUGUAGGAACUUGGGCUUUCCUUCUCAGUUGAGAAAACACUCAGGGGUUAGUAAAUGUCUGGGUCCGGCACCCAGUCCUCCUGUCUUCUCCUAAGAUCUAACUGAAGAAUGCCAAUCUUCCCACUUUCAGGAAAAAGUCAAAGGAGUGUUAUUGACAAUGGUAAGGGUGGCAGCAUGAUGAUCUUUAUGGGAAAGUCCUCUCUGCUCAGAGGCUUCGAAGGACAGCAACCUCCUGCUGGUCUUAUGGACACAACUUUCCCGUCUGCAGGGUCGGGUCGAUCACAACAGCUGCAGGUAGUGGGGUAGUGGGGCUGCUGAGCUCUUUCUGCUGACUGCUCCCCGGAAUCUCUUCAGGCCAAGCAAACUCUGAUUCUAACCACUUCUCCCUAAGCCAGGGCUGCUGGGUGGUCUAGGGGCAGAAGGACAGAAUGGGGGCGGGGCAGGGCAGGCCUCG
rnacentral:lncRNA from 1 species